GGGGAGAACACAACUUGUUUGAACUCGACAGGCCAGAGACUGAGUGAAGGGGAAGAUGACUGAACACACAGCACCGUCUGUUUCUGUUGUACAGUAAACUGUGAUAUGUUGUCAGGUGUACAAGUUGGCUGCAGCAAAGGGAGAGGGCCAGUCCUGGACUUUGAAACGAGGGCAUAGAACCUUAUAAAGAGGUCUUCCACCGACCGCCAAAACAUCUAUUCUAAGAACAAUGGAAACCUGACGUAUCCAUUUACAACCGAAGUUAUCAGGAGCCGCCGAUAGAGCUACAACCAUGAAAGACAUUGUGACUUCUGGGGAAGUAACCAGAGAUUCUCUGAUGAACUGACUCUCCAGCAGACGGACCGACAAUUCCAACAGAGAAGACAACAAUGAUGUCACGACUCCUACCGAAGGUGGCUCCCCUUCCUGUUCGGGUGGCGGUCGUCGUCACCGGCCUACUAGCUGCCUCUAACCUUUUUCCCCCUUGUCUGUUUAUUAGUUACACCUUUGUUUAGUUAGGUUGAUUGGUUGGGCUUUAUUAUCCAGCCGGCCCGCCUGCUGAGUGUGCAGGAUUGUUUGCAAUGUACUGUUGUGCACGACUGUAUGUCACGGUUGUCCGUGUAUGUGUGUUUUGCUCUACUGUUUAGUUCCCCGUGUUUUGAGGCAUUUGUUUGGGUUGGCGUCGUUUUCACCGGUGUGGUGGAAUAAAAGUAUCGCUACCCUGAACUUUCUGUUUCCUGCGCCUGACUCUUUCCUCCACUACACCCCGGGCAUUACAAACGACAUAUGGGCGUAAAUAUGUUGAUUGCAAUUAUUCCCGAAUGAUUGAAAGUUCAUGUGCAAAAGAUUGGCAUUUCAAUGAAUAUAAUUAUCUACCAUGUGUGUAGUGAUCCAUUUUGCCUUUCCCGCUCCUUUAUCGGUCCACACCCCCUUUUCUUUGUAGACCAAGCAGUCAUAUCGGUUUAGUCCACUAGGGGAUCUUCACAAUCAUUGUUAGUAACCAAUAUCUACUGUCUGUUUGGUAUGCAUUUCUUUGAUUAUUUAGUUAGGAAAUAAAUGAUUAAGCCAA